AGAGACAAAGUUCUGUGAAUGAUGUGUGUGUCUUUAAUUCAGUGCCUGACUUAGGAGAAAGAAGGGACAGAUGUGUUUCAGAGAGAGAGAACUUGAGUUUACUCUGAAGCACAGAAACUACAUGCAAACAUAUCUUUCGUUUUCUUCUAACAGCCUUUGCAGGAUAUUGUGGGUUCUUGUACAGUGCGGUUUACAAAAUGUUCCUGUUUCCGAUGAAUCCUGAGUGAAAACCAUCUUUUUGAGCAAAUAUAGACCAUGCCAGGAUGAUCAUUCAAAAGCAACUUUGACUGACUCCUUCAAGACGUGCUUAACUAUUGGGUGGACUCUAUGGAAGGUGUAAGCGUCAAACAGAAGCUGGUCUGGAUAAGCCUUCCAUUGGACUUAUCUGUACAUUUAGUCUUGAUCCUUUCAGUUAUGACUACAUCUGGCAAAAGAAUGAGCUUCAGUUAGAGAUCAAGAUAACUGAAAUCUGAAUCCAUAAGCUGAUCCUUGGAAGCCUGCUUGGAAGUUUUGGUCACAAGCAGUACCAUCUCUGAUUCCCUUGAUGAGACAAUGGAACAAAGACCUUUAAAUACACUGACGUCUGCCUCCAUUACUCAGUGAGUGAUGGCUUCAGAUGACCCAUCUACCAUCAGUCAAAACCCAUUCAGGUGAUGUAUGUUGUUUAGCAGAUGAGCACUUUAAAACUUAGUAAAUGCAAUGAAGGAGGCAGACUUUAUCAUUCAAUACAUGGAUAGACAUACAGUAGCAAAGGCUAUUAGAAGAAAUACAUUUGAAAAUGAAUUAAAGUGCAAACAUUUAAAGACAUACAGUUGUGUAAGUUUGUUAAAAAAAUAUAACUUUUCUAAUUUCAAGUGGAUUCGAUUCAUGAAUUUAAUAAAUGAAAAAUGUAAAGAGAAAUGGCAGAACUGGUGAAUUAUUUUUCACUCUGUUUAUUUUAUAUCUCUUCAAAUGCUGAGAACUAAGAUGGUGCAGAUCAAAAUACUGUAUCAGAAAAUCAUUGCAUGUACAAAACUAAUAUUAUUACUACAUUAUCAGCUGUAUCAUCAUUAGGUAUAAAAUCAGAAUCCAGGACAUUCACAUUAUAAUUAAACCACACUUAUGUAUAACUGGUUUUAUAUUCACAGUACAUAACACAUCCUUCAUGUAAACAUUCCAGUGAUAGUUGUAUAGUUUGGAUAAUUUUGUUUAAAAAAUGCAAAUUAGUUGGCACUCAUUACGUAAAUGGUAGGUUAAUGUAAUGGCAAUGCUGUAAUAGUUAAUAAGCUUUCAACACUCUUAAUUCAAAUGACUGCUACAAAAACUGCAGUAUAUUCUAAUGGUUAAAACCAUGAUUCCCAGUGAUAGCAGAUUAUCUUGACACUUCCAGUAACCUUGUAUCCUACUUACUGUAUAAGUCAUUUGUAAGAGACAUACCAUUUUUCUUUUAAAAGAAUAAUCACUAUUUGUAUGGGAAGUGAGGAGUGGUGUUGUUAACAGAUAAUGGGGUUCUCUCAGCCCACGAUACUUCCUAUCAGUGCACUGUUUUAUCGCUCAUUAAUAACUCUUUUCUGUGUCGGGGCAGUACAAUGUCAACAUUAUUUGUCAAAGGACUGAAAGCUUCCAGCAUUGGCCUUAUUGUUCAUAUGAAUUGACACUUGGAGUGUAUUAGAACCCUUUCACUGCCUUUUUAUUUACUGCAGUCUGCAAAUACCAAACACAAUAGACACCUUUAGUGCACUUUUUUUGUAUACAGCAUUAUCUGCUUCAACGUACACUUCUGCCCUGAGCAAGAACAAUCAAAAUAUAUUAGAAUUGAUAUGAACAAUAUGCUACAUUCCCUUUGUGCUUGCAGAAAGAUUAAACUGCCACUUGCUUUGAUAAAUGUUCCUUUUUAACCUUCCUAGAGGCAAACAGUAAAACCGUUCUCAUUCAAAGGAUCCUGACAGGUGCACUGGAUCAAUGUAUAUUUUGCUGCUUUAUUCAGUAUUUUGCACUCUUCAUGUUUUAGGUUGUUUAAAGUUGUUUUUUUUACUUGCGCACAAUUACAUUAUUAGUUUAACAGGAGAAUUUAAAAACAGGAGCUAGUCUUUUCAUAAAUCCCUAAAAGUGUGAGAUUGCAGUCUCCCAUUCAAAAUAUCACUGUCUACAGAAUGAAAAUGCUGGAGGUGUCAAUCACUGAAAGUGGUUUCAUUCUUGCUAGAUACCAUUUCUCAGUACCAGGCCAGAGGAAGCAAGCAAAUGGGCUCCAUCUCCAGUGCCUACUGAGCUGAUUACAGUUGAUUUAUUGAGCACUGGCUCAGUUCAGCAGGAACCGGAGUUCUGCCUCUUAAUACACGGAUCCCAAAAUCAAGAUAAAUCCCAGAGGACAAAGGCGUCUUGGUGUCUUUUACUGCUUAGUCUACUCUAUGCAUCAUUCAGGAUGCUGGAGUGUCUGAAGGGUGAUUUAAGUACUGAAGUGGAAUGUUGGUGGAACACUGCUUCUGUCAUUUGUCCUUUCAGCAGAUUAUGGGAGCAGAGUUUUUCCAAACCAUUGCCUCCAGGAAACAUCUUUUCAACACUUAAUGGUCCGGAACUUCAUUUACAUUGUCAGAUAUGUAUUUUUUGGAUGCUCUUUCACGGUUAUAGGUUUACAUUUGUAUCGUACGCAUUAUUAGGUUAAUCAGAAAAUAUCAUGUUGUUGACAAAUACAGUUGUUGACACGAUCGCAAGUGACUUUUUAUACUAAAGUAAAAAAAAAAUAUUGGGAAUUUUAACAGUCAGUCCAUUUGUAAACAGCAGGUAUGAAGUUAGAAAGACGGUCCGACAUAUUCUUGUUCAGAUGCAUGACCCAAGGUAGAUACAUUUGUUUUAUUUUUGUGUGUUUUUCAUAUAUAAAAUGAUAUAACAGUAAUAAACAAAUUGCAAAAUGUGUUACAAACACACAAGUGAAUUGGCAUAGCACAUGCAGACUAUAAAUACAUGUCAUAAUGAAUCAGCACUGUUCAAGGAUGGGACUAUUUUCUUUUGUUGUCCCCGUAGUCCCUUUUGAAGGUUAAUUUCACAAGUAUGUAAAAUUUGGUCCUGAGACACCUUAUUGGGUUACAAAUGCACUCUUUCAAACUGGCAGCGAAGAGUCACUUAUGAGUAAGCAGAGCUCUUGUUCGUCUUUCUUUGCUAUAUAUAAAUUGUUACAGUUAGUUUUAGUAAUCGGUUAAUGUGACUGAUCACGUCAAGCAAUUUUCAGUAUUGCCAAAAUCUUAAACCACAUGUGAGGGGAGUCCCCAGUAAUUUCAUAAGAGCAUGUCAUUAUGAAACACACCCUUACAUAAAGACAUCUUUUUUCCAUCACAAAUGGCAUGUUUGUACAAACCUUUGGGUUUAUAAAAGAGCUCUGAACAUUAAAGAAAUCAAACUGGUAUACUGUAUAUAUUAGUAUACUUACAAUCACACUACCUAAUAAUGCUCUUCUAUGAUGCAGUUUGAACACAAGCACUUCAGUAUAGAAUUUUCUUUAUUAAAAUGUUUGUCUUCAUGUGAUUUCAGACUGCCUCACUAUGUAAGGAACUUAAUUAUACAUAUUGUAAUGGUUCACCUGAUUACCAGACUUGCCAUAUUACCAAAGGUUUAUGUAAAGGGUCUACAAGAUGUACUGUAGAUAUUUGCAUGAAAUCUUGUAUUGCUAUUUUUAGAGAAAUCCGAAUUUUAUAGACUGCGCAAUUCAACUGUAAACAUCUUAAAGAGAAUAUCACUUUUGACAAGCCAAAAAUAAUGUACUUCUGUAUCUCAGAAAAAACUUUAUUUUUUUUAAGUUAUUUUUUUCCCCAUUUCAUGUGUGCUUAAAAAGAAGUGAGCAGUUUCAUUAUUGGAGUUGGCUGCCCUCCUCGCAGGAAAUUAAAACAGUUUUUUUUUUUCCCAAACAGCAUGUGUGGCAUAAGGCAUUUAGACUGCUGGUCCUGAUGUGCAUCAGGUCCUACUGGAGGAGGUGGUCUUGCAGCUUGUUGGCAAAAGGCAGUAAGGAGGACUUCUCUGUCUAAAUGUUAUUGCCUGUGGGGAUGUUUUAUCAGCUUUAUCAUAGCUGGAAUGUAGAGCUUUGUGGAUGUACUGUAUAGCAGUCCAGACCACUUUAAAAGCAUUAAAGUUGUGGGACCAAAUUUGCUUCAUUUUUAUAAUGAAUCAAUUUUAAAUCCCCAAAAGAUGUUUGAGUGAAAAACAUUAAUUUAAUUUUCCACACUUAUACAGUAUUGGCUUGACAGAUAUCUUCAAACUUUCAAAAUUACUUUCAGAAUUGUUUGGAGCUAAGAAAAUUCCCCUGCUAAAACUAUAUUGACACAAUGAGACUGUGGAUGAUUUGUUCUACUUGAGAACGUGUUUCUGUUAUGUUGAAAAGUUAAUCUGCAGCCAUUUUUUUAUUUACUUCAGUCUAAAUGAGAAUACAAUUCAGUUGAAAAGGAAGUGCUAUCAAAAGGGUUACAUGUGUUUUAUUCAAACCAUCUGCUCUAAAAUGUCCUACUACAAACAUGUAAUUCAGUAUUCUAUUGCAUUUAUGCACACAAACGACACAACACAAUUGGGAAAUGUACUUAAAGUGGAACCUGGGGCCAUUUAAUGAGUGUUGAAUUCCAAAGAUAAUCACUUUAAAGACUGCAUCUCAUUUCUUCUCGUUUUAAGAAAAUUUAAAGAACUAAAAGAAUUGCUAGAGUUUUUUUAAUAUACAUUUCUAUUGUAAACAGUACAAUAACUGCAGUUAAGGGCAUGUGAGCGCUUGGGUUCUGGGUUUAAUUUUGGACUGGGCUGACUUAUGUGUGGAGAUUGCAUGUUUCCUUCAUGUUUAUGUGGAUUUGUGUCAGGUGCUACAGGUUUCUCCCACCUCACAUGGACAUACUGCCUUUUUCACUUUGUGUCUCUACAUUUAUUGUUACAUCUAUUAGUGUGUAGGUGUGUGGACAAGUGUCCCAUCCGGAGUGUAGUCCAAGCUUUUCCCUACCAGGAAAAAAUAACUUUAAGAUAAUUUAUGACUGCCAUGUUAAGAACUAAUCAUAAUCCUGUAAUUGUUUCAGAUUAUCUUGAUCAUUCUAAGAUGUAUAUAGUCAAUUUUAUUCUUUGUUCUUGUUCUCUUAUUAUAACAAAAGUCAUGCAGGUUUAACAGCAUGAGACAUAUUGUACUGUACUUCCUCUAUGGUUGGAAUUCUAAAUAAUACAUGGUGCAUUACUACAGUAACUCACAUGCACACUGUAGACCUUGAUACAGGUUAAUUAAUUGAAGCAAAACUAUGUGUUCAAUGUAACAUGAAUCUAAGCUUCAGGUUUUCAUGACAUGUCCGCCUAGGAAACAUGGAAUUGCUGAAAAACAGCACAAUAUAAAUUUACCACGCAGUAGCUUUUUAUUUCCAAAGAAAAGUAUCAACAAGAUUGUUAAAAGGAGUGUUAUUUUAAAAAAGGCAACACCAUUAGAGCUUAUUGUACAAUCACAAGGCCAGUGAUCACACAAGUGAUAAUAAGGCUAACUCAUCAUAAAGUUUGUUUUUUUUAAUUUAGUUGUUGAUCUUAAAAAAAUGUUGGAAGAGAUUUUCUGUAUGUUGUAAAAUAAUUGAAUAAACAAUACUUAGUAAUGAUUAAUACAUUAUAUUCUCAUUAAUAAUA